rnacentral:rRNA from 1 species
GUGGGGAAUCUUAGACAAUGGGGGAAACCCUGAUCUAGCCAUGCCGCGUGAGCGAUGAAGGCCUUAGGGUUGUAAAGCUCUUUCAGCUGGGAAGAUAAUGACGGUACCAGCAGAAGAAGCCCCGGCUAACUCCGUGCCAGCAGCCGCGGUAAUACGGAGGGGGCUAGCGUUGUUCGGAAUUACUGGGCGUAAAGCGCGCGUAGGCGGACCAGAAAGUUGGAGGUGAAAUCCCAGGGCUCAACCUUGGAACUGCCUUCAAAACUCCUGGUCUGGAGUUCGAGAGAGGUGAGUGGAAUUCCGAGUGUAGAGGUGAAAUUCGUAGAUAUUCGGAGGAACACCAGUGGCGAAGGCGGCUCACUGGCUCGAUACUGACGCUGAGGUGCGAAAGCCGGGGGAGCGAACGGGAUUAGAUACCCGAGUAGUCC